AACGAACGCUGGCGGCAUGCCUAACACAUGCAAGUCGAACGAGACCUUCGGGUCUAGUGGCGCACGGGUGCGUAACGCGUGGGAAUCUGCCCUUAGGUACGGAAUAACUCAGGGAAACUUGAGCUAAUACCGUAUAAUGACUCCGGUCCAAAGAUUUAUCGCCUAAGGAUGAGCCCGCGUCGGAUUAGCUAGUUGGUGAGGUAAAAGCUCACCAAGGCGACGAUCCGUAGCUGGCUGAGAGGAUGAUCAGCCACACUGGGACUGAGACACGGCCCAGACUCCUACGGGAGGCAGCAGUGGGGAAUAUUGGACAAUGGGCGAAAGCCUGAUCCAGCAAUGCCGCGUGAGUGAUGAAGGCCUUAGGGUUGUAAAGCUCUUUACCCGGGAUGAUAAUGACAGUACGGGNGAAUAAGCCCCGCUAACUUCGUGCCAGCCGCCGCGGU
rnacentral:rRNA from 1 species